GGUCAGGUAGCUCAGUUGGCAGAGCACCGCUCCUGAAAAAGCGGGGGUCGGCGGUUCAAGUCCGCCCCUGACCA
rnacentral:tRNA from 1 species